rnacentral:misc_RNA from 1 species
UCCUAAAUUUUUCUUGAUAAAUAGGUUAGUACAGAAGAUGGGAAAAAAAGAAGAUCACUUAAAAGAUGAUAAAGAACAUUAUCAUCAUGAAAAUAAGAGUAUUGGAUCUAAGCUCAACAGAAAAGUGAUAGUUGGCGUUUGUGCAGUGAGCAAAAAGACAAAUUCUGGGGCAAUGAAAGAAAUUCUCAAGCGUCUUAAACUUUAUAACUUACUGAAGUUCAUUAUUUUCUCUGAUAACACAAUACUUGAACAACCUGUUGAGUCAUGGCCUAUUGUGGAUGCUUUAAUAUCCUUUUAUUCAUCAGGAUUUCCUCUUGAAAAAGCUGUCUCUUAUGCAAAGUUAAGGAAACCAUUUGUAUUGAAUGAUUUAGAGAUGCAAGAUCUUCUUUUAGACAGAAGAGAGGUUUACAAACUCUUAGAUAACAACAGAAUUAAAACACCAAGAUAUGCAAUUUUUGAGCGCGAUGAAAACAACUAUCCAGUCUCAGGUAAAGAAAUAGUUGAAACUGAUGAUACAAUUAUAGUUAAUGGAGUUACUUUUACCAAACCAUUUGUUGAAAAACCUGUUAAUGCAGAAGAUCACAAUGUUUUCAUUUACUAUCCUUCCGGUGCUGGUGGCGGCUGUCAAGUUUUGUUUCGGAAGAUUGGAAAUAAGAGCAGUUUAUACUCAUCACACAGUCAAAUUCGAAGAAAAGGAUCAUUUAUAUAUGAAGAUUUUAUGCGUACUGAUGGUACUGAUGUUAAGGUUUAUACAGUUGGAGAUGAAUAUGCACACGCUGAAGCACGUAAAUCACCUGUUCUUGAUGGAAAAGUUGAUCGCACUGCUGAUGGGAAAGAGAUUCGUUACCCUGUUAUUUUGAGCCCUUUUGAAAAAAUGAUUGCUUUUAAAGUGUGUCGAGCUUUUAAGCAAACAGUUUGUGGUUUUGAUUUGUUGCGCACUGAUGGGAAAUCUCUUGUAUGUGAUGUAAAUGGAUUUAGUUUUGUUAAAACCUCUCAAAAAUACUAUGAUGACUGCGCUCAGCUUCUUGCAAAAAUAAUUCUAAAAAACUUUGCUCCUCGCAGUUGGCCAGCUAUGUUAGCAAAUGUGCCAGACGGAGAAUCGAUCAAACAAUCUGUUGCUAAAGAAGUAGAAAAGGAUGAUAGUUUAGAGCUUUGUUGUUUAAUUGCUAUUAUGAGGCAUGGUGACAGGACUCCAAAACAAAAAAUGAAGAUGGUUGUAACUCAUAAGCUGUUUCAUGAUAUAUUUAUCAAGUAUGGGGGAAAUGACGAAGGGUCGAUAAAAUUAAAGAAACCAGCACAGUUGCAAGAGAUGCUGUGUAUUUUCUGCAAACUUAUUGAUGGUGAUGUUAACAGAAAUUAUAUUCCAAUUGAUGAAGACAGAUACAAACUUACACAGAUGAAAAGCGUUUUAGAAAUGUAUGGACAUUUUGAUGGGAUUAAUCGUAAGGUUCAAAUAAAGUCUAUGUCUGAUAUACGCAAUGCUAAUAUGGUUUCUAAGCUAAGAGGAAGAAAUGGCCUUGAACAAGACAAAUUUAAAGGAGAUUUAAGCUUGCUUCUUAUUGUAAAAUGGGGUGGUGAACUAACACCAAUGGGUAAAAAACAGGCAGAAGAUCUUGGUAGAGCUUACAGAUGCUUGUACCCAUCAGAUGGGUGCUCAAUGCCAGGAGGUGGUCUUUUAAGAUUACAUAGUACUUAUCGGCAUGAUUUAAAAAUAUACUCUUCUGAUGAAGGUCGAGUCGAAAUGACUGCUGCAGCAUUUGCGAAAGGUUUAUUGGAUUUGGAAGGGGAAUUGACACCAAUUCUGGUUAGCCUGGUAAAAAAUGACAAGUAUAUUUCUGGUAUGUUGGAUACUCCGUCUAGUAUAAGCUGUAAUAUGCAGAGAGUUAAAUCGCGAAUACAUGAUAAAUUGCGUUCUAAAGAUGAUUUUACAGAAGAAGAUAUUGCUGCGUUCACUAAUACUAAAUCAGGAGCAAUAGCUGAAGCAAUGCGAGUUGUAAAAAAUCCUCAAAAAAAAUGUGAAAAAGUUUAUAAACUUGUGUGCAAUUUUACAAAUCAAUUAAGAGAGCUUUGCAAACAACAAUAUAAAAACAAAGCCUAUCAUGGUGAAGGUUUGGUUUUAAUGAUGCAUAGAUGGGAAAAGUUGCAAAGUGACUUUAAAAUUGGUGAUGAGUUUGACAUGAGUUUGAUUCCAGAUAUUUAUGAUUGCGUGAAGUAUGAUUAUAUCCAUAAUAUUUCUUUAAAUUUGAAAAAUUUGCCUGAACUUUAUGCUGAUACAAAACCUCUUGCUGAUAUAGUAAUACCUCAAGAAUAUGGCAUAACUAGUGAAGACAAAAUUAAAAUUUCUAAAGAAAUUUGCAGUAAUUUGUUGUUGAAAAUUAAAUCAGACUUAAACUCACAUGUUAGUCAGCAAGUAAAUAAAUUAGAUCCAUCUGCUUCUCAGGGUAUUGAUUCACCAAACACGCAUGUGCGCACCAGGUUAUAUGUCACAAGCGAAAGUCAUGUUCAUUCUGUAGUAAAUGCUAUCAAAGAAGGAAAUUUGUUUAAGAAUUCAGAAGAGCCAAUGAGCAAGCAGGCUUUAGAAUAUCUUAACAACACUGCUGAAUUGAAUUAUCUCACUCAAAUAGUUAUUAUGAAAUACGAAGAUCUUAAAGCUAAUCCAGAAUCUGAUGAGCGUUUCAAGAUUGAAAUCUUAUUUAGCUUCACAGUUGAUUUUCAGAAUAAUUUACAAACAAGCUUGUACUUUAAAAUUACCCAGGAAUCUAGGGAUUCAGGAGUCUGGAAUCUAAUUUAUAUGUGGAUAAAGAUAGAAAAAGUUUAAUACAGAUAAAAUGCUGGUGAAAAAUGUCCUGAUAAUAAUGAAGCAGUUAAAAGAUUGCAACAUGAAUCUAAUGCAAAUAGUUAUGCUACUAAAAGGUCAUUUAAUGAAGAUCUUAAUUUGCUGGUGGAAACUCAAAACGAGCAAACUGCCAUACUCGAAUUAAAUGCAAAAUCUCUCGUACCUGAUGUACGUUUCGAAGGAGU